rnacentral:rRNA from 1 species
ACAUCCAGAGAAUUUAGCAGAGAUGCUUUAGUGCCUUCGGGAACUCUGAGACAGUGCUGCAUGGCUGUCGUCAGCUCGUGUUGUGAAAUGUUGGGUUAAGUCCCGCAACGAGCGCAACCCUUAUCCUUGUUGCCAGCACGUAAUGGUGGGAACUCAAAGGAGACUGCCGGUGAUAAACCGGAGGAAGGUGGGGAUGACGUCAAGUCAUCAUGGCCCUUACGAGUAGGGCUACACACGUGCUACAAUGGCGCAUACAAAGAGAAGCGACCUCGCGAGAGCAAGCGGACCUCAUAAAGUGCGUCGUAGUCCGGAUUGGAGUCUGCAACUCGACUCCAUGAAGUCGGAAUCGCUAGUAAUCGUAAAUCAGAAUGUUACGGUGAAUACGUUCCCGGGCCUUGUACACACCGCCCGUCACACCAUGGGAGUGGGUUGCAAAAGAAGUAGAUAGCUUAACCUUCGGGAGGGCGUUUACCACUUUGUGAUUCAUGACUGGGGUGAAGUCGUAACAAGGUAAGCGUAGUGCU